AGUGAACGCUGGCGGUAGGCCUAACACAUGCAAGUCGAACGGCAGCACAGUAAGAGCUUGCUCUUACGGGUGGCGAGUGGCGGACGGGUGAGGAAUACAUCGGAAUCUACUUUUUCGUGGGGGAUAACGUAGGGAAACUUACGCUAAUACCGCAUACGACCUACGAGUGAAAGCAGGGGAUCUUCGGACCUUGCGCGAAUGAAUGAGCCGAUGUCGGAUUAGCUAGUUGGCGGGGUAAAGGCCCAACAAGGCGACGAUCCGUAGCUGGUCUGAGAGGAUGAUCAGCCACACUGGAACUGAGACACGGUCCAGACUCCUACGGGAGGCAGAAGUGGGGAAUAUUGGACAAUGGGAGCAAGCCUGAUCCAGCCAUACCGCGUGGGUGAAGAAGGCCUUCGGGUUGUAAAGCCCUUUUGUUGGGAAAGAAAAGCAGCAGGUUAAUACCCCGCUGUUCUGACGGUACCCAAAGAAUAAGCACCGGCUAACUUCGUG
rnacentral:rRNA from 1 species